AGUGAACGCUGGCGGUAGGCCUAACACAUGCAAGUCGAACGGCAGCACCGUAAGAGCUUGCUCUUACGGGUGGCGAGUGGCGGACGGGUGAGGAAUACAUCGGAAUCUACUUUUUCGUGGGGGAUAACGUAGGGAAACUUACGCUAAUACCGCAUAUGACCUACGGGUGAAAGCAGGGGAUCUUCGGACCUUGCGCGAUUGAAUGAGCCGAUGUCGGAUUAGCUAGUUGGCGGGGUAAAGGCCCACCAAGGCGACGAUCCGUAGCUGGUCUGAGAGGAUGAUCAGCCACACGGGAACUGAGACACGGUCCAGACUCCUACGGGAGGCAGCAGUGGGGAAUAUUGGACAAUGGGCGCAAGCCUGAUCCAGCCAUACCGCGUGGGUGAAGAAGGCCUUCGGGUUGUAAAGCCCUUUUGUUGGGAAAGAAAAGCAGCAGGUUAAUACCCCGCUGUUCGGACGGUACCCAAAGAAUAAGCACCGGCUAACUUCGU
rnacentral:rRNA from 1 species